GCGGACAGAUGGGAGCUUGCUCCCUGAUGUUAGCGGCGGACGGGUGAGUAACACGUGGGUAACCUGCCUGUAAGACUGGGAUAACUCCGGGAAACCGGGGCUAAUACCGGAUGGUUGUYUGAACCGCAUGGUUCAGACAUAAAAGGUGGCUUCGGCUACCACUUACAGAUGGACCCGCGGCGCAUUAGCUAGUUGGUGAGGUAACGGCUCACCAAGGCGACGAUGCGUAGCCGACCUGAGAGGGUGAUCGGCCACACUGGGACUGAGACACGGCCCAGACUCCUACGGGAGGCAGCAGUAGGGAAUCUUCCGCAAUGGACGAAAGUCUGACGGAGCAACGCCGCGUGAGUGAUGAAGGUUUUCGGAUCGUAAAGCUCUGUUGUUAGGGAAGAACAAGUGCCGUUCAAAUAGGGCGGCACCUUGACGGUACCUAACCAGAAAGCCACGGCUAACUACGUGCCAGCARCCGCGGUAAUACGUAGGUGGCAAGCGUUGUCCGGAAUUAUUGGGCGUAAAGGGCUCGCAGGCGGUUUCUUAAGUCUGAUGUGAAAGCCCCCGGCUCAACCGGGGAGGGUCAUUGGAAACUGGGGAACUUGAGUGCAGAAGAGGAGAGUGGAAUUCCACGUGUAGCGGUGAAAUGCGUAGAGAUGUGGAGGAACACCAGUGGCGAAGGCGACUCUCUGGUCUGUAACUGACGCUGAGGAGCGAAAGCGUGGGGAGCGAACAGGAUUAGAUACCCUGGUAGUCCACGCCGUAAACGAUGAGUGCUAAGUGUUAGGGGGUUUCCGCCCCUUAGUGCUGCAGCUAACGCAUUAAGCACUCCGCCUGGGGAGUACGGUCGCAAGACUGAAACUCAAAGGAAUUGACGGG
rnacentral:rRNA from 1 species